AGCGAACGCUGGCGGCAGGCUUAACACAUGCAAGUCGAACGGGCGUAGCAAUACGUCAGUGGCAGACGGGUGAGUAACGCGUGGGAACGUACCUUUGGUUCGGGAACAACCCAGGGAAACUUGGGCUAAUACCGGAUAAGCCCUUACGGGGAAGAUUUAUCGCCGAAAGAUCGGCCCGCGUCUGAUUAGCUAGUUGGUGUGGUAACGGCGCACCAAGGCGACGAUCAGUAGCUGGGUCUGAGAGGAUGAUCAGCCACAUUGGGACUGAGACACGGCCC
rnacentral:rRNA from 1 species